rnacentral:sRNA from 1 species
AGGGAUAUCUGCGGACCGUAUGGAAGCAAAGACUCUUGGAAUUGUAACGCCCAGAAAACCUGUCUUAUCUGUCAGUGCAAGAAAAAUUAAGGACAAUGCAGCUGAUUGGCACAAUUUAAUCCUGAAGUGGGAAACCCUCAAUGAUGCAGGUUUUACCACUGCAAAUAAUAUUGCCAACUUGAAAAUCAGUUUAUUGAAUAAAGACAAGAUAGAACUAAACAGCAGCAGCCCAGCCUCGAAGGAAAAUGAAGAAAAGGUGUGUCUGGAAUAUAAUGAGGAACUGGAGAAGCUGUGUGAGGAACUGCAGGCCACCUUGGAUGGGUUGGUAAGACAUAAAGACGCAGGCCACUUGUGGUCACUGUCACUGAAUCCGAUGGACGUAUUUGGGGUUCGCUUGACCAUUGGCCAUCCCUUCCUCCUUCUCAGUCUCCUCGGAUGUUCUCUUCCUCUGCCUGCCGCAUAAAUCUUAAUGUUCCCCAAGAUGCUGUCUUAGACACUCACUCCUCUUGUGCAUCAUCUGGGGAAAUUUCACCCACUUUCAGGGCUCAUCACAUA